rnacentral:rRNA from 1 species
GACGAACGCUGGCGGCGCGCCUAACACAUGCAAGUCGAACGGAGUCAAGAGGAGCUUGCUUUUCUUGACUUAGUGGCGAACGGGUGAGUAACGCGUGAGUAACCUGCCCUGGAGUGGGGGACAACAGUUGGAAACGACUGCUAAUACCGCAUAAGCCCACGGAUCUGCAUGGAUCUGCGGGAAAAGGAUUUAUUCGCUCUAGGAUGGACUCGCGUCCAAUUAGCUAGUUGGUGAGGUAACGGCCCACCAAGGCGACGAUUGGUAGCCGGACUGAGAGGCUGAACGGCCACAUUGGGACUGAGACACGGCCCAGACUCCUACGGGAGGCAGCAGUGGGGGAUAUUGCACAAUGGGGGAAACCCUGAUGCAGCGACGCCGCGUGGAGGAAGAAGGUUUUCGGAUUGUAAACUCCUGUCGUUAGGGACGAUAAUGACGGUACCUAACAAGAAAGCACCAGCUAACUACGUG